AGUCUUCAUCAACAAUGUCACUGAAGAUGAAAAAUCCAGAGGGGAAAUACAGUCAUGAAUUUGUAUGUAACACAGCUGGAUUCAAUAUCAUGGUCAUCAAAUCUGUAGAGCUUUACAAUGGUUUUCAAAGAUGACUACUUGGUGUAAAAAAAAAUUACAUAUAAUAUAUAUGUAUGAACCUACUGAAGGAAUUCUCCAUGAGUGCUAAUGACAUAAUGAAUGGGAAGAAAUGAUAGAAAUUAAUACUGCAUUUUCGGUGAAUAU